GACGAACGCUGGCGGCGGGCCUAAUACAUGCAAGUAGAACGCAGUUGCGAACGGGUGAGUAACGCGUAGGUAACUGCCUCAUAGCGGGGGAUAACUAUUGGAAACGAUAGCUAAUACCGCAUACUGUGAGAGGGAACUGCGUUGUAUUAGCUAGUUGGUGAGGUAAAGGCUCACCAAGGCGACGAUACAUAGCCGACCUGAGAGGUUGAUCGGCCACACUGGGACGUGGUCACGGCCCCGACUUCUACCGGAGGCAGCAGUAGGGCAUCUUCGGCAAUGGACGGAAGUCUGACCGGGCAACGCCGCGUGAGUGAAGAAGGUUUUCGGAUCGUAAAGCUCUUUUGUUAGAGAAGCGGUACCUACCCAGAAAGGGACGGCUAACUCCGUGCCAGCCGCCGCGGUAAUAC
rnacentral:rRNA from 1 species